rnacentral:tRNA from 1 species
UUGGGGAUAUGACUCAGUUGGUAGAGUGCUUGCCUUGCAUGCACAAGGCCCUGGGUUCAAUCCCCAGCACCCAAA